GGGGUCGACUGGUUUUGACAGCGAGUGGAAUUAACUAGUAAGCACGUCGAGCGUUGUAUGUUUAGCUCGUAAAUCCAAAUGUACAAACUUAUAAACGGCGAAAAUAAUUACGCUUUAGCUGCUUAAUCUGAAUUAUAGUAAGAUUUGCCAAGUUCCUACUAGGUAGGAAAGCUGGAUUCUCCUCAAAAGCCUUGGUUUAUGGCGGUUGGAUUAGGAGAACCGUAAAAGUAAACCUAGGAACGGUAAUGCUUUAAAUCCGUUCUGACACUGAUAAAGCUAAGUUAAAAGUGGCAGUUUCUAGCCUUGCUUUUAGUCGAAAAUUUAAGAUGAAACUAAGCGUGUAGAAAGCUUUUUGAUUGCUUGUUUGGACGAGAGUUCGAUUCUCUCCGACUCCACAG
rnacentral:tmRNA from 2 species